rnacentral:rRNA from 1 species
AUUGAACGCUGGCGGCAGGCCUAACACAUGCAAGUCGAGCGGAUGACGGGAGCUUGCUCCUUGAUUCAGCGGCGGACGGGUGAGUAAUGCCUAGGAAUCUGCCUGGUAGUGGGGGACAACGUUUCGAAAGGAACGCUGAUACCGCAUACGUCCUACGGGAGAAAGCAGGGGACCUUCGGGCCUUGCGCUAUCAGAUGAGCCUAGGUCGGAUUAGCUAGUUGGUGGGGUAAUGGCUCACCAAGGCGACGAUCCGUAACUGGUCUGAGAGGAUGAUCAGUCACACUGGAACUGAGACACGGUCCAGACUCCUACGGGAGGCAGCAGUGGGGAAUAUUGGACAAUGGGGGAAAGCCUGAUCCAGCCACGCCGCGUGUGUGAAGAAGGUCUUCGGAUUGUAAAGCACUUUAAGUUGGGAGGAAGGGCAGUAAGCUAAUACCUUGCUGUUUUGACGUUACCGACAGAAUAAGCACCGGCUAACUCUGUGCCAGCAGCCGCGGUAA